UCCUAAUUAAUUGUUAGCCAAAACCUUCUAGCUAAUUCUCAACUCCUAUAAAAGCCGUUUGGGCCUCUUCCUUUUUCUCCAUAAACACUACCACUCAUAAAUAUAUAGUAUCAUCUAAAUUAUUCGGUAGCUACUAUACUAAAUUAACUAGAGGCAAGAAGGGGUAAGGUUGUAACAUUGUUGUCCAAAAUGAGGCUUCUUGCAAUAGCACUUUUGUUGGUUCUAGCAAGCUCAUGUAUGGCAAACCAUAAAAGAAAUUUAGUGUCCCAAAUUAUGUCCGAAAACCAGAAGAAGGAGCAAGACACAAAAGGAGAUCAUGGACUCAUUGACCCAAAUAAUCAUGUUACUGAUGAUAAUGAUCAUCAUUAUAUUCCUCGCAAGGAUUAUGGCACACAUCCUAAUGGCAAUGAAUGAAACGGUCUAAUGAGAACAAGAUAUGUAUAAUAUUCUAGUUGUAAUGUUUGAUUGAUAUGUAUGAUAAAUUUAAAGAAAUUCUUGGUUGGUUCUUUGCACUUAUACAAGAAUUUCUAAUAUAUAUAUAUAUAUGAAUAUCAUAUUUGUUUAAUACUAGUAUAUAAAAUAA